rnacentral:rRNA from 1 species
UGUCUGGUCUGUACUGACGCUGAGCUCGAAAGUAUGGGUAGCAAACAGGAUUAGAUACCUGGUAGUCCAUACCGUAAACGAUGAAUGCUAAGUGUUGGAGGGUUCCGCCUUUCAGUGCUGCAGCUAACGCAUUAAGCAUUCCGCUGGGGAGUACGGCCGCAAGGCUGAAACUCAAAGGAAUUGACGGGGGCCCGCACAGCGGUGGAGCAUGUGGUUUAAUUCGAAGCUACGCGAAGAACCUUACCAGGUCUUGACAUACUAUGCAAAUCUAAGAGAUUAGACGUUCCCUUCGGGGACAUGGAUACAGGUGGUGCAUGGUUGUCGUCAGCUCGUGUCGUGAGAUGUUGGGUUAAGUCCCGCAACGAGCGCAACCCUUAUUAUCAGUUGCCAGCAUUAAGUUGGGCACUCUGGUGAGACUGCCGGUGACAAACCGGAGGAAGGUGGGGAUGACGUCAAAUCAUCAUGCCCCUUAUGACCUGGGCUACACACGUGCUACAAUGGAUGGUACAACGAGUUGCGAACUCGCGAGAGUAAGCUAAUCUCUUAAAGCCAUUCUCAGUUCGGAUUGUAGGCUGCAACUCGCCUACAUGAAGUCGGAAUCGCUAGUAAUCGCGGAUCAGCAUGCCGCGGUGAAUACGUUCCCGGGCCUUGUACACACCGCCCGUCACACCAUGAGAGUUUGUAACACCCAAAGUCGGUGGGGUAACCUUUAGGAACCAGCCGCCUAAGGUGGGACAGAUGAUUAGGGUGAAGUCGUAACAAGGUAACCA